rnacentral:rRNA from 1 species
GAGCUCAAAUUUGAAAUCUGGCGUCUUUCAGGCGUCCGAGUUGUAAUCUAUAGAGGCGUUUUCCGCGCCGGACCGCGUCCAAGUCUCUUGGAAUAGAGUAUCAAAGAGGGUGACAAUCCCGUACUUGACGCGACAACCGGUGCUCUGUGAUACGUUCUCAAUGAGUCGAGUUGUUUGGGAAUGCAGCUCUAAAUGGGUGGUAAAUUCCAUCUAAGGCUAAAUAUUGGCGAGAGACCGAUAGCGAACAAGUACCGUGAGGGAAAGAUGAAAAGCACUUUGGAAAGAGAGUUAAACAGCACGUGAAAUUGUUAAAAGGGAAACGAUUGAAGUCAGUCGUGUGGGAAGUAUUCAGCCGUCUCUGGCGGUGUAUUUGCUUCUCACGGGUCAACAUCAGUUUGAUCCGGUAGAAAAAGGCGGGAAGAAGGUGGCACCCUCGGGUGUGUUAUAGCUUCCUGUCAUAUGUGCCGGACCAGACUGAGGAACGCAGCUUGCAGCAAUGCCGGGGUUCGCCCACGUACAAGCUUAGGAUGUUGACAUAAUGGCUUUAAACGACCCGUCUU